GAAAAUAAUACAGCAAUGUGUAACUCACACGAACAUACGGAACACGUAUAAACGUUUUGCGAUGCCUUAUUCAUUUUGAUUUUCGUUCUCUUUUUGUUGUCUCUACCUUUAUGUAAGUGUAGGAACAAAGGGAAGAAC
rnacentral:ribozyme from 1 species